AUUGAACGCUGGCGGCAUGCCUAACACAUGCAAGUCGAGCGGACGAACGGGGCUCGCUCUUGCAUUCAGUAGCGGACGGGUGAGUAAUGCAUAGGAAUCUGCCCAGUAGUGGGGGAUAGCGUCGCGAAACGGGGACUAAUACCGCAUACGACCUGAGGGUGAAAGUGGGGGAUCUUCGGACCUCACGCUAUCAGAUGAGCCUAUGUCGGAUUAGCUAGUUGGUGGGGUAAAGGCCUACCAAGGCGACGAUCCGUAGCUGGUCUGAGAGGAUGACCAGCCACACUGGAACUGAGACACGGCCCAGACUCCUACGGGAGGCAGCAGUGGGGAAUAUUGGACAAUGGGCGAAAGCCUGAUCCAGCAAUGCCGCGUGUGUGAUGAAGGUCUUCGGAUUGUAAAGCACUUUUAGUUGGGACGAAAAGGAGUGUGUCAAUUCCUCGAUGUUUUGACGUUACCCACAGAAUAAGCACCGGCUAACUACGUG
rnacentral:rRNA from 1 species